CCCUACGGGGUGCACCAGGCGCGAAACCUCUGCAAUAGGCGAAAGCUUGACAGGGUUACUCUGAGUGAUUUCCGUUAAGAAGAUCUUUUGACACCUCUAAAAAUGGUGUAGAAUAAGGGGUGGGCAAGUCUGGUGUCAGCCGCCGCGGUAA
rnacentral:rRNA from 1 species